rnacentral:rRNA from 1 species
UGAGGAAUAUUGCACAAUGGAGGAAACUCUGAUGCAGCGACGCCGCGUGAGGGAAGAAGGUAUUCGUAUUGUAAACCUCUGUCUUUGGGGACGAAAAAAUGACGGUACCCAAAGAGGAAGCACCGGCUAACUACGUGCCAGCAGACGCGGUACAACGUCGGGUGCAAGCGUUGUCCGGAAUUACUGGGUGUAAGGGGAGCGCAGGCGGAUCUUUAAGUUUGACGUUUAAUCUACGGGCUUAACCCGUAUCAUCGUUCAAAACUGGGGAUCUUGAGUGGAGUAGAGGCAGGCGGAAUUCCAGGUGGAGCGGUGGAAUGCGUAGAUAUCUGGAGGAACACCAGUGGCGAAGGCGGCCUGCUGGGCUCUAACUGACGCUGAGGCUCGAAAGCAUGGGUAGCAAACA